rnacentral:rRNA from 1 species
GAUGAACGCUGGCGGCGUGCCUAACACAUGCAAGUCGAGCGAGAUUUAUGCAAGUGGAGACUUCGGUCAAAGCGAACAUAAUGAAAGCGGCGGACGGGUGAGUAACGCGUGAGCAAUCUGCCCCAUACAAAGGGAUACCCACUGGAAACGGUGAUUAAUACCUUAUAAGACCACAGAGUCACAUGAUUUGGUGGCCAAAGAUUUAUCGGUAUGGGAUGAGCUCGCGUCUGAUUAGCUAGUUGGUAAGGUAAUGGCUUACCAAGGCGACGAUCAGUAGCCGACCUGAGAGGGUGAACGGCCACACUGGAACUGAGACACGGUCCAGACUCCUACGGGAGGCUG